GCAUACCAAAGAGGAUUGCUACUUUUUGAAGCAGCAUGAGGAGUAGCAAAUCUAUGCAGAUAUGAUUUAAAUGGAAGGACCUCCCCCAUUUCUGGCAUGUACUCUAUCUCAUGAUUCCCAGCAGACCAAAUCCAUGGUUGAUAUGCAGCACUACGCUCAACAAAACGGCCCCAUGAGUCCCAUCUAAUACCAACUUCAUUGUAUUGAUAUCUAUCAGCAUAUGAGAGAUCACCAACAAAUAAGACAGUCUGUCCACCACUCUGCACGUAAUGCUCGAGAGUGGAAAGAGAAUUAUAUGUUUGACCCAAAUCACCAAUAAUACCAAAAGUGUAGGGAGCAUCUGGAUCUAUCUUUGGAGGUGUUCGGAACCAAAAUUCGCGAGAAGAAUCACCCUCUCCAAUCUUGUAAUAGUACUUGGUGUCAUACUCAAGGCUAUCAACAAGGCAGUGAUGAAUAUAGCCAGACUUAUAGUUGGAAAAGGUGUAAUUGGUUACAGUUCCCUGAGCACUAAACUCAUAUUUGUUCACCAAUAUACCAUAUUUCACAAUACUAAGACCCGUUUCAUCAGCCGUAACCCAAGAGAUAAUCACAGCCUUACCAUCAUAGUCCCCUUGAGUGAUAUGCACUUGCUGUGGGGCAAUAUGACCUUUCGGAAUUUCAAAUACUUGAUUGUCAAGUGGGAUAUCAGUAGAUGGCCAUUCGGAGCGAAUAAAAGUACUGGUGAUCCCAGCACUCCCAUUUUCCAGGGAAUUCCAGACCAAAACUACUACAAGCAGGAAUUGAAACAAUGGCAUUGCUCUUCAAAGUUUACAAGGAAGAAUCAAUCUAUAGCUGAAAACAACACUAAUUGGUACAAAGUUUUAAUCUUUACUUGGGCAUUUCAUGAUCAAUUUUCAUUCGAGAUAGAACCACAGCAAUCUACAGAAAGAGAAAGUUUACCUGAAUCAAAUUUUGAAAAUGGAGAAAGG
rnacentral:misc_RNA from 1 species